rnacentral:rRNA from 1 species
UACAGAGGUGGCAAGCGUUGUUCGGAAUUACUGGGCGUAAAGGGCGCGUAGGCGGUUCGUUAAGUCCUGUGUGAAAUCCCCCGGCUCAACUGGGGAACUGCACAGGAAACUAGCGGGCUUGAGUUCGGGAGAGGGAAGCGGAAUUCCGGGUGUAGCGGUGAAAUGCGUAGAUAUCCGGAGGAACACCGGUGGCGAAGGCGGCUUACUGGACCGACACUGACGCUGAGGCGCGAAAGCUAGGGGAGCAAACGGG